GGGGGAUGCAAGCGUUAUCCGGAUUUACUGGGUGUAAAGGGAGCGUAGACGGCGGUGCAAGCCAGAUGUGAAAGCCCGGGGCUCAACCCCGGGACUGCAUUUGGAACUGUGCUGCUAGAGUGUCGGAGAGGCAGGCGGAAUUCCUAGUGUAGCGGUGAAAUGCGUAGAUAUUAGGAGGAACACCAGUGGCGAAGGCGGCCUGCUGGACGAUGACUGACGUUGAGGCUCGAAAGCGUGGGGAGC
rnacentral:rRNA from 1 species